CGAAACGUUGAGCGCGGGACAGAUCGAUUCUGAAUCGCGACGCAUUUAAUUGAGAGUGCCACGAAAAAGUGACAACAGUGAAAUAAGAGAGAGAGAAGAAGAAGCCCGGGGCGGCAUCAAGUUAUGGCAGAGCAACCAUGAGCUCAACACUUUGUAAUAUGCCAUGCUUCGUCGCUGAGCAUCAUACCGGGCGGUUCAAGAGCUUCGGUACUCUCUUCAUCUUCACACGCCGGGAUAAAUGCCAAUAUAAAUGAGAAGUGGAAAAUAAAACAGGGCACGGGAGAAGGAGAGACUAUCGAAACGAUCGAGAAUCAUGUACCGAUUUAUCAGGGAAUUCACGAGGAUGAACUGGAUUCGAGGGGAGGCCGUGGAAGUUUUGCCAUUAAGAAAAUAUCCAAUAUUACCGGUAAGGCGAAGAGCGGCUGCGCCGAAUUACCGCGAUGGGAUGGCGUGAUUUAUUUUAUGAGGAAACUUCAUCGCGCCUGUACGAUCCUCGGCGAGGGACGAUCCCUCGCAGCUGGGAUCACGAAAAUGCGAUUUUAAUAAUGUGGCCAAUUAGGGGUCAUCGUGGCUUUCCUGGAGGAGAUUAGCCGCACCUUCGGAUUAUCGCAUAGACGAGAGAUGAUUAAAAGUAGUCUGUCCCCUCACAAUUAUCGUCGCUAAUAUUAUGUCGUGUUGUGGUGACUAAUUCUAAGAUAAAGA